GAAACGGCUCUUUUUAGAGCUAUUGAAUGUUUCAAAGACAACGUAU
rfam:Patagioenas fasciata monilis isolate BTP2013 Sc31e1R_87, whole genome shotgun sequence.